ensembl:lncRNA
ACUGCUGCUCCCAGCAACAGGAUGGAGGAACAGCUUCAGGGUUGGUUCCGUAGCGCCUUAGAAGAGUAAGCUGCUGCAGGACGAAAAAGAGGUACUUGAAGUGGAGCUUUGAUUAUAUUGGGAAAACUGCUGUUGAUUCACUUCCUGAAUCUCUUCAUGGAUAAAAGCUUUGCACAUAUAUGGAACAGAUUUCAUGCUUGGUCUCCAUAAGUGUACAGCAAGCAUCAAUGAAUGUCAAUGGGUGCCAUUUUUUCCACAUGGAGGUAUUCAAUUACACACUUCUGCUUCAUACUCACUUCCAUAUCAAAUGCCAUUUUGUGAGACUGCCCCUCUGCUGACAUCUGUCACACAGCAACAAAAUGUAAUGGACUAUCUGUGGGAACCUCUACUGCUAUACCACCAACAGCUGCAUCUGGCAUUGUGGGCCAACAUGAUAUGAGGCAUUACUUUUGGGAGUAGCCCUUGUAUUUUGUUUCUUAUCUGUGUAGCUGUAGGGUCAGAGAAGGGCAAGCCUUCUCUGGGCUCAGCCCCUAAUUGCUAUAACUGAUUUUCAUAAAACUGCUUUCCCCUCAAAACUACUUUCCCCUGCAAUCUCAGCUUGGUGAUAUCAGAACUGGCAAUCAGCAAAAGAUCAUGGGUGAGGAUGAAAGUUCUUGGAAGUCUGAAAUGAUUUUUUUUGUCAGUUCCCCACUAGGCUCUCUUAAAGUAAAUAAAUAGGAAAAUUAGGCCACAUGAGGAAAGCAGGCUGAGAGCUUCAAGAUAUUAGAUUAAUCUAACCCAGUGCUUUGCUUAGGGAAUAUGAAUGUCUGCAAAUGGUUCUUCUGGGAACUGAGGAGCCAGUCACCAUUCACAUAAUGCAUCAUACAUGCAGUCUGCUGCUUGCUAACACAGCAUUUCACAGGCAUGGCCCUUUACUGCCUGAUCUCCAGAGAGACACAAACAGGACAGAAAUGUGCUGUAUCAAGAGCUGCUCUGGGAAACAAAUGUCUCAGUGGCUUCAAAAGUCUGUGCUUCUGUGGAGCUCCUUACAGUGUUUUCAAACUGAGUUGUCUCAGGCUAUUUCAUGGGUAUUCAUCAGCCCAGACAAAGGUUCUGGAGAGAGAUGUCUGCAUAAAUUGCUGCAUGUGUAAGUCAUUUGGCUGAAAAAGGCAUGUUAGAAUAAUCUUGGAAGGCCUUUUUGGGGACAAAGACAUUUUAAAAUCUCUAAGAAAAUACAGAAAUUUGUAAAUGAAAAAUAAAGGCUUCAAUUGGACUCUGUGAGAUACAGUGAAUAACAAGCUUCUGUUAUGGCGACAGUGCAUUGUGCACUCCAGGAAUACUUGAGGCUGUCUCCAGAGCAUAGUGGGGACCCAUACAGUACUUGAAUCCCUUCUGAGAGAUGGCAGGGACUCAGUUUGUGUCCAUGGGCUUUUGACUGCUAUUAAUGGUCAGACAGCAGGGAGUUAAGAGCAGAGUGGUGCAGAGGGUGCAGGGGAAAAAAUAUUUCACCCUGUUGUUCUAAGGCUGCCUUAAUUAAAGCGUAAAGGGCAGAGUAAUGCACAUUGAAAACAACUGUUUGUAUGCGUCAAAAACAUUUCAUUUCCUUUGUGGCUUUCUCUGUUUAUUGAUUUACUCAAUUAGUGGUGCAUGGCAUGUUUUUCUUUUAAUAAAACUGUGUGUUUCUUCUGACAUUUAAAGGACUCAACAGUGCGUGUGAAACAUAGGCGCUGUUUAAGACGGUCUUUGCUAUACAGAUCCUGGGUUGUUCUUUUUGGGUACUUACAGCUUUGCCAAAGCAUCCCACCCUUCCCACUUUUGUAAAGCAUGGUGGUGACAGAAACGUACUUCAGUAAUU